GGUUCCGUGGCCAAAUGGUUACGGCGUUGGACUUCUAAUCCAAAGAUUGCGGGUUCGAUCCCCGCCGGAAUCU